GGAACUAAUAAAAGGAUCAGCCAGUAAUAAAAGGAUAAGAAGCUACUGACUCAAGAAGUUGGGUCCAAAGCCAGUUUAAAACUCCAUUUUGCAGUAGCCUUGGGAGCUGAGCCAAGACUUGUCUCUGCCUCCAGGACAGCAAUUGUGAAAAUCAUGGUUGGUAGAACCCUACAGGUAAUCAAAAAGGGGGUUAGAUUUUUCUUUCUUCCAUAUCUAAGACAAAAAGAUAUUGCUAACAUCGAUACUGCUAACAUCACUUGCCAAGAGUCGGGUCAUUUCUGUGAAGAUUUAGAAGUAACAAGAGAAAUUAGGUGGAUUCCAUCUGCCUCAGGACCUAAAUCAGGCUGUUGGCAUUAGCUGACUAAAGCUGAAAAGAGAAAAGCUCAUGUAAAGACACAGAGAGAAGGCAGCCUACUGCAAGCCAACGGGAGGCUCCAAUCCUCUGGAACACACAUCUUAUAAAGGAAUUAAAAAAACACACAAAACAACCAGGAUAAUAUCUAUCCGGGAAGGAGUGAAGAGGAGUCUUUAACUUGAGAUAG